rnacentral:rRNA from 1 species
AGCGAACGCUGGCGGCAGGCCUAACACAUGCCAGUCGAACGAACCUUUCGGGGUUAGUGGCGGACGGGUGAGUAACACGUGGGAACGUGCCUUUAGGUUCGGAAUAACUCAGGGAAACUUGUGCUAAUACCGAAUGUGCCCUUCGGGGGAAAGAUCUAUCGCCGUUAGAGCGGCCCGCGUCUGAUUAGCUAGUUGGUUGUGGUAAUGGCGCACCAAGGCGACGAUCAGUAGCUGGUCUGAGAGGAUGAUCAGCCACAUUGGGACUGAGACACGGCCGAAACUCCUACGGGAGGCAGCAGUGGGGAAUCUAGCGCAAUGGGCGAAAGCCUGACGCAGCCAUGCCGGGUGAAUGAUGAAGGUCGUAGGAUUGUAAAAUUCUUUCACCGGGGACGAUAAUGACGGUACCCGGAGAAGAAGCCCCGGCUAACUUCGUG